ACGGGUGAGUAACGCGUAAGGGACUUACCUGCAGGACCGGGAUAACAGGGGGAAACUCUUGACAAGACCGGAUAAUGUCAUGGAGCUGCAUGGCUUUAUGAUGAAAGGAGACGCCUGUGGAGAGCCUUGCGUCCUAUUAGCUAGUUGGUGAGGUAAGGGCUCACCAAGGCGAAGAUAGGUAGCCGGCCUGAGAGGGUGGACGGCCACAAGGGGACUGAGAUACGGCCCUUACUCCUACGGGAGGCAGCAGUGGGGAAUAUUGGACAAUGGGGGCAACCCUGAUCCAGCAAUUCUGUGUGCACGAAGAAGGUUUUCGGAUUGUAAAGUGCUUUCAGCAGGGAAGAAGUAAGUGACGGUACCUGCAGAAGAAGCGACGGCUAAAUACGUGCCAGCAGCCGCGGUAAUACGUAUGUCGCGAGCGUUAUCCGGAAUUAUUGGGCAUAAAGGGCAUCUAGGCGGCCUGACAAGUCAGGGGUGAAAACCUGCGGCUCAACCGCAGGCCUGCCUUUGAAACUGUGAGGCUGGAGUACCGGAGAGGUGGACGGAACUGCACGAGUAGAGGUGAAAUUCGUAGAUAUGUGCAGGAAUGCCGAUGAUGAAGAUAGUUCACUGGAUGGUAACUGACGCUGAAGUGCGAAAGCCGGGGGAGCGAACAGGAUUAGAUACCCUGGUAGUCCC
rnacentral:rRNA from 1 species